UACGUAGGGGGCAAGCGUUGUUCGGAAUUACUGGGCGUAAAGGGCGCGUAGGCGGUACGACAAGUCGGAAGUGAAAGCCCGGGGCUCAACCCUGGAACUGCUUUCGAAACUGUCGAACUUGAGUGCAGAAGAGGCAACUGGAAUUCCCAGUGUAGCGGUGAAAUGCGUAGAUAUUGGGAAGAACACCUGAGGCGAAGGCGGGUUGCUGGGCUGACACUGACGCUGAGGCGCGAAAGCCAGGGGAGCGAACGGG
rnacentral:rRNA from 1 species